rnacentral:rRNA from 1 species
UACGUAGGGGGCGAGCGUUAUCCGGAUUUAUUGGGCUUAAAGGGAGCGUAGGCGGCUAAUUAAGUCAGUGGUUAAAGGUAGCAGCUUAACUGUUUUACAUGCUAUUGAUACUGGUUAGCUUGAGUUGACGGAAGGAAGAUAGAAUUUCUGGUGUAGCGGUGAAAUGCGUAGAUACCAGAAGGAAUACCGAUGGCGAAGGCAGUCUGCUGCAGUCACACUGACGCUGAGGCUCGAAAGUGCGGGGAUCAAACAGG